UACGUAGGGUGCGAGCGUUGUCCGGAAUUAUUGGGCGUAAAGAGCUUGUAGGCGGUCUGUCGCGUCUGCUGUGAAAUCCCGAGGCUCAACCUCGGGUCUGCAGUGGGUACGGGCAGACUGGAGUGCGGUAGGGGAGAAUGGAAUUCCUGGUGUAGCGGUGGAAUGCGCAGAUAUCAGGAGGAACACCGAUGGCGAAGGCGGGACUCUGGGCCGAUACUGACACUGAGGCACGAAAGUGUGGGGAUCAAACAGG
rnacentral:rRNA from 1 species